GCGUUGCUCGGAAUCACUGGGCGUAAAGCGCACGUAGGCGGAUCUUUAAGUCAGGGGUGAAAUCCUGGAGCUCAACUCCAGAACUGCCUUUGAUACUGGGGAUCUUGAGUCCGGAAGAGGUGAGUGGAACUCCGAGUGUAGAGGUGAAAUUCGUAGAUAUUCGGAAGAACACCAGUGGCGAAGGCGGCUCACUGGUCCGGUACUGACGCUGAGGUGCGAAAGCGUGGGGAGCAAACAGG
rnacentral:rRNA from 1 species